AUUUGAAAUCAAAUGUAACAACUUUCAACAAUGGAUCUCUUGGUUCUCGCAUCGAUGAAGAACGCAGCGAAUUGCGAUAUGUAAUGUGAAUUGCAGAAUUCAGUGAAUCAUCGAAUCUUUGAACGCACAUUGCACCCUCUGGUAUUCCGG
rnacentral:rRNA from 1 species